rnacentral:rRNA from 1 species
UACGUAGGGUGCGAGCGUUUAAUCGGAAUUACUGGGCGUAAAGCGUGCGCAGGCGGCUCCUUAAGUCAGAUGUGAAAGCCCCGGGCUUAACCUGGGAACUGCGUUUGAAACUGGGGAGCUAGAGUGUAGAAGAGGGGGGUGGAAUUCCAGGUGUAGCAGUGAAAUGCGUAGAGAUCUGGAGGAACACCGAUGGCGAAGGCAGCCCCCUGGGCUAACACUGACGCUCAUGCACGAAAGCGUGGGGAGCAAACAGG